rnacentral:lncRNA from 10 species
AUGUCAUUUCCUUUGAAGUCAGUGGGAACUCUGUGCAGGACGGCAACAUGAACACCGGCCUCUAUACAUGAAGGCCAUCAAGUGGUUAACAUAUAGACAGUAUUUAAAUCCUUGGGACUGGAUGAGAUUACCAAGGGAGGAAAUGUAGAUGAAGGAGAAGAGAAAGGAUGGAGUUCUGGAGCACUACAAAUUUAAGAGACUGGGGAGAAGAGGAGAAACCCAGAAAAUCUACCUUGGAGAUCAC